UACGUAGGGAGCAAGCGUUGUCCGGAAUUACUGGGUGUAAAGGGCGAGUAGGCGGGACAAAAAGUCAGAUGUGAAAACUAUGGGCUCAACCCAUAGCCUGCAUUUGAAACUUUUGUUCUUGAGGGAUGGAGAGGUAAGCGGAAUUCCUAGUGUAGCGGUGAAAUGCGUAGAUAUUAGGAGGAACACCAGUGGCGAAGGCGGCUUACUGGACAUCUACUGACGCUGAGGAGCGAAAGCGUGGGGAGCGAACAGGAUUAGAUACCCUGGUAGUCCACGCCGUAAACGAUGAUUACUAGGUGUAGGGGGUAUCGACUCCCCCUGUGCCGCAGCAAACGCAAUAAGUAAUCCACCUGGGGAGUACGGCCGCAAGGCUGAAACUCAAAGGAAUUGACGGGGGCCCGCACAAGCAGUGGAGUAUGUGGUUUAAUUCGAAGCAACGCGAAGAACCUUACCAGGGCUUGACAUGGAGACGACCGCUCUAGAGAUAGAGCUUCCCUUCGGGGCGUCUCACACAGGUGGUGCAUGGUU
rnacentral:rRNA from 1 species